rnacentral:pre_miRNA from 1 species
UACUCAGAAAGGUGCCAGUCACUUACACUACAUGUCACUGUGUCCUUUCUGCGUAGA